rnacentral:pre_miRNA from 1 species
UAACAUUGUUAUUGAUAGUUUGUCCAAAGACAGAUUGGUGGAUGAUGCUUUGGGCCUUCUUGCGGAAAUGAGUGACAAAGGCGUUCAACCAAAUGUUGUUACCUAUAGCUCGUUGAUUCAUGGUC